rnacentral:lncRNA from 1 species
UUAGGCCCCAAAACUUGCUCCAGAUGCCACAAAGCGUAUUACUGCGCAAGGAGCAUCAGACCCUAGACUGGAGAUUGGGACAUAAGCAGGCUUGUGCACAACCAGAUCAUUUGGACCUUACAACUCCAGACCACAACUUCGUUUUUCCAGAAUUUGAAAUUGUAAUAGAAACAGAAGAUGAGAUUAUGCCUGAGGUUGCGGAAAAGGAAGAUUAUUCAGAUAUUAUAGGGAGCAUGGUUACGCAGUUUCAGGACUUCAUUCAUUAAGUGGUUAAACUUAAUGCUUGGAAGAAAGGUCUCAAUGUGUCUAGAAGAGAGGUACUGAGAGGAAGACUCACUUUGGAGGCUGGAGCCUACAAUUUUCAAGGAUUGCCUCAGGUGAAAAUAUACUUCCUGGACUUUGUUUCCUGACAUAUAUCAGGUGUGUUCUGCUCCCUAUAAAGACAAGAGGAGGCGGGUAUCCAGAUGGUCCCACGAGUAGGGCUACACAAGAUGCUGGAGGCUUGUAUCUAAGAAGCAUGUUACUGCACCAAGGACCCCGCCUCUCCUCUUCCUCUUUCUGGAGGGUUCUG